rnacentral:misc_RNA from 1 species
CUCCUUGUAUUCUCUCUGUCCACAUGUUUCGAAUAAGGGCACGUCGUCCUUCAGCAACAGGAUUUCCCACAGGAAGAGUCCAAUAUUCAAUUACCUCCUCCAAUUCUGAUAGUUGCUGAACUCGGACCAUAUUACUGUAAGCACGCUCAUAGCUCUCCAAAACCAAAGCAGCAAGUUCUGUUCCUAAACACUUCCUAGCUCUCUCAACAUACUCCCGAGCUUCAUCAUACUUUCCUCUACGAACUAAUAAGACAGCCCUGAAGAAUGUGCCACUACUACUUCCAUCACCACUAGUGGCAGUAUUCCCCAAACCUCGAAGUUUAGUUUCAUCACCAUCAUCUAAUNNNNNNGAAUACAUAUUCUGCCAUUGGAUCCCACUCUCCCAUGUCCCAAGCAGCACUAGCAGCCAUUGGUGCCAUUUCCAAUCGCGCAGCUGGCUCUGCCGGCGUCCAAAAAUCCUUGCAUAGAUUGUUAAGCUCUUCCCAUCUAGCUAAUGCAGCAAGGCAUCGCAUCCUUCCUAGUGUAGCUUCCAAAACAAGAUGUGGACUUGAUGCUUGCGCAACUUUUGCAGUGUAUGCUUUAAGAGCAUCAUCCCACCGCUGCAAUUUCUCAUACCAUGACUCCUUAAGUUUAACAUCAAGAUGUUGUUGGGCAUAGGUCAAUAUUCCAACAGCAGCCUCAUGCUGGUGCAACUGAUUAUUUAUAUGUAUGAGAGCUUCAACAACAGCAACAGGAUUAGCAUCCGUCUUCUUGGAUUGCGCACCUACGAACUCCAUUUCUU